rnacentral:rRNA from 1 species
UACGAAGGGGGCUAGCGUUGCUCGGAAUCACUGGGCGUAAAGGGUGCGCAGACGGCCAAGUGUGUGAGGCGUGAAAGCCCGGGGCUUAACCCCGGAAUUGCACCUCAAACUACAUGGCUAGAGCAUUGGAGAGGGUAGCAGAAUUCAUGGUGUAGCAGUGAAAUGCGUAGAUAUCAUGAGGAAUACCAGAGGCGAAGGCGGCUACCUGGACAAUUGCUGACGCUCAGGCACGAAAGCGUGGGGAGCAAACAGG